UACGUAGGGUGCGAGCGUUGCCCGGAUUUAUUGGGCGUAAAGGGCGCGUAGGCGGCUCGGCACGUCCGUUGUGAAAUCGCCCGGCUCAACUGGGCGGGGUCAGCGGAUACGGUCGAGCUUGAGCAAGCUAGGGGGUAAUGGAAUUCCCGGUGUAGUGGUGGAAUGCGUAGAUAUCGGGAGGAACACCAGUGGCGAAGGCGACUACCUGGCCUGUUCUUGACGCUGAGGCGCGAAAGCUAGGGGAGCAAACGGG
rnacentral:rRNA from 1 species